rnacentral:rRNA from 1 species
UACGUAGGUGGCAAGCGUUGUCCGGAUUUACUGGGCGUAAAGCGCGCGCAGGCGGGCUGGUCAGUCUGGGGUGAAAUCUCACGGCUCAACCGUGAGAGGUCCCUGGACACUGCUAGCCUUGAGGGGCUCAGAGGAGAGUGGAAUUCCGGGUGUAGUGGUGGAAUGCGUAGAUAUCCGGAGGAACACCAGUGGCGAAAGCGGCUCUCUGGGGGCAACCUGACGCUGAGGCGCGAAAGCGUGGGGAGCGAACCGG